AAACUAAAGAGUUUGAUCCUGGCUCAGAUUGAACGCUGGCGGCAUGCCUUACACAUGCAAGUCGAACGGUAGAGUAGCAAUACUCGAGAGUGGCGAACGGGUGAGUAAUAUAUCGGAACGUGCCCAGUCGUGGGGGAUAACGUAGAGAAAUUUACGCUAAUACCGCAUACGAUCUAAGGAUGAAAGCGGGGGAUUCGCAAGAACCUCGCGCGAUUGGAGCGGCUGAUAUCAGAUUAGGUUGUUGGUGAGGUAAAAGCUCACCAAGCCGACGAUCUGUAGCUGGUUUGAGAGAACGACCAGCCACACUGGGACUGAGACACGGCCCAGACUCCUACGGGAGGCAGCAGUGGGGAAUUUUGGACAAUGGGCGAAAGCCUG
rnacentral:rRNA from 1 species